GACGAACGCUGGCGGCGUGCCUAAUACAUGCAAGUUGAGCGAUGAAGAUUGGUGCUUGCCCCAAUUUGAAGAGCAGCGAACGGGUGAGUAACGCGUGGGGAAUCUGCCUUUGAGCGGGGGACAACAUUUGGAAACGAAUGCUAAUACCGCAUAACAACUUUAAACAUAAGUUUUAAGUUUGAAAGAUGCAAUUGCAUCACUCAAAGAUGAUCCCGCGUUGUAUUAGCUAGUUGGUGAGGUAAAGGCUCACCAAGGCGAUGAUACAUAGCCGACCUGAGAGGGUGAUCGGCCACAUUGGGACUGAGACACGGCCCAAACUCCUACGGGAGGCAGCAGUAGGGAAUCUUCGGCAAUGGACGAAAGUCUGACCGAGCAACGCCGCGAGAGUGAAGAAGGUUUUCGGAUCGUAAAACUCUGUUGGUAGAGAAGAACGUUGGUGAGAGUGGAAAGCUCAUCAAGUGACGGUAACUACCCAGAAAGGGACGGCUAACUACGUG
rnacentral:rRNA from 1 species